GAGUUUGAUCAUGGCUCAGGACGAACGCUGGCGGCAGGCUUAACACAUGCAAGUCGAGCGCCCCGCAAGGGGAGCGGCAGACGGGUGAGUAACGCGUGGGAACGUGCCUUUUGGUUCGGAACAACUGAGGGAAACUUCAGCUAAUACCGGAUAAGCCCCGAGGGGGAAAGAUUUAUCGCCAAAAGAUCGGCCCGCGUCAGAUUAGGUAGUUGGUGGGGUAAUGGCCUACCAAGCCUACGAUCUGUAGGUGGACUGAGAGGAUGAUCACCCACACUGGGACUGAGACACGGCCCAGACUCCUACGGGAGGCAGCAGUGGGGAAUAUUGGACAAUGGGCGAAAGCCUGAUCCAGCCAUGCCGCGUGGAUGAAGAAGGCCCUAGGGUUGUAAAGUCCUUUCGGUGGUGAAGAUAAUGACGGUAACCACAGAAGAAGCCCCGGCUAAUUUCGUGCCAGCAGCCGCGGUAAUACGAAAGGGGCUAGCGUUGUUCGGAAUUACUGGGCGUAAAGCGCACGUGGGCGGCCUUGUAAGUUGGGGGUGAAAUCCCAGGGCUCAACCCUGGAACUGCCUUCAAGACUGCAAAGCUAGAGGAUGCGAGAGGUUGGCGGAAUUCCGAGUGUAG
rnacentral:rRNA from 1 species